CACAAAGGUUUAGUCCUGACCUUAAAGUCAAUUCUUACCUGACUUAUACAUGCAAGUAUCCGCACCCCAGUGAGAACGCCCCCAAACCCCAUCGGAACAAGGAGCCGCCAUCAGGCACAACUAUUUGCCCAAGACGCCUAGCUUUGCCACACCCCCAAGGGUCUACAGCAGUGAUUAACAUUAAACAAUUAACGACAGUUAGAUUUAAUUAAGGUACUAAGAGCCGGCCAACAGUGGUGCCAGCCGCCGCGGUUACACCACGAGCUCAAAUUGACUUUCAUCGGCGUAAAGCGUGACUAAAGAAUCCUAAUACUAGAAUAAAGCUUAGACUAGGCUGUGAUAAACCUGUCCUAAGAAACCCCAAACACGAAAGUUAUUCUAGAUAAACCCCCUUGACUCACGACAGCUGGGAAACAAACUGGGAUUAGAUACCCCACUAUGCCCAGCCGUAAACUUUUACUUACACCUAACACGCCAGAGAACUACGAGCAAUGCUUAAAACUCAAAGGACUUGACGGUUCCCCAUAUCCACCUAGAGGAGCCUGUCCUGUAAUUGAUAACCCCCACUAAACCUCACCCCUUUUAGCUUAUCAGCCUGUAUACUUCCGUCGUCAACCUACCACGUGAGCGCAACUCAGUAGGUUCUAUCGCCUAACCCGCACAAACGCCAGGUCAAGGUGCAGCAAAUAAAGGGGGAAGAGAUGGGCUACAUUCUCUAGCAUAGAGCAUACGAAAGGCUAUAUGAAACCCUAGCCAGAAGGCGGAUUUAGUAGUAAAGAGUGAAUAGAGUGCACUCUUUAACAAGGCACUGGAGUGCGUACACACCGCCCGUCACCCUCCUCAAAGCCCUCACACUAGUACUUAACACCCUGAUAACUUAAAGAGGAGGCAAGUCGUAACAUGGUAAGCGUACCGGAAGGUGCGCUUGGAAA
rnacentral:ncRNA from 1 species